rnacentral:rRNA from 1 species
UACGUAGGGUGCAAGCGUUGUCCGGAAUUAUUGGGCGUAAAGAGCUCGUAGGCGGUUUGUCGCGUCGAAUGUGAAAUCCCGGGGCUCAACUCCGGGUCUGCAUUCGAUACGGGCAGACUAGAGUUCGGUAGGGGAGAUUGGAAUCCUGGUGUAGCGGUGAAAUGCGCAGAUAUCAGGAGGAACACCGGUGGCGAAGGCGGGAUCUCUA